UGGGGAAUUUUGGACAAUGGGGGCAACCCUGAUCCAGCAAUGCCGCGUGAGUGAAGAAGGCCUUCGGGUUGUAAAGCUCUUUUGUCAGGGAAGAAACACCGGCUCUAACACAGUCCGGGAAUGACGGCACCUGAAGAAUAAGCA
rnacentral:rRNA from 1 species